GUGCUCGCAAGUUGUUAUUCCCGGCAUGAGGAGAAGAAGAGACUAGCUACCGUAUGAAAAAUCAGCACCGAUCUCUCUCCCAAGUUUCAAGCCAAUCUUCCCGUUUCAUCGUUGCCGGCACCAACUUUUUCGGAGUUCUCCCCGCGUCGCCCGACCGAUAGUUACCAAAGGGGGAAGGCAUGCAAGGCCCUCCUGGUCUGCGUCCUCCGGCUCCAUUCUACCCCGGUGGAUACCCUCCCCCGCCGGGCUGGCCUGGUUACCCUAUGCCAUUUGUUCCGGUGCAAGGGUACGGAGCUCCACCUGGUGCGUAUCCUCAACCCGGAGGAUACCCUCCAGCUGGGUAUCCACAACAACAUGGCCAUGCGCCGCAAGCUGGUUAUGCCGUCCAUGAUAAAUCGAAGAAGAAGUCUUCAAAGAAAGGAAAAAAAGGUAAGGGUGGUGGCUUCGGCUCAUUCCUCGCCGGUGCCGCUAGCGGUGCAGUUACGGUACUUGGAGCUGUAUUGGCUGAAGAUGAAGAACAGUCUUCUGGCAAGUUCAAAUGGAAGUGAUAAACCAAGAAAAAAAAUGCAAUUACCAUUUUGUCUUUUGAUCGGUGGAGCGAAAAACUACUACUUUUAAGAUGUGGGAAGAUCAUAAUGCCAGUUAUUUCUCUCUUAUGGAUUUGUAGUACAAUUUGAUGUAUCGCAGAUUUGUUCAACACAUGACACAGAUUCCGUGCUCAAAUCUAUACAUCUAUAGAAGGACAGAAAAUCGGCUAAACAUGAGUUUUGAACGCCCGCAAUUAAUUCUAUGGAAAAUUCUUCAAUGAUUUUUA